rnacentral:rRNA from 1 species
GAGAGAGCGGCGGACGGGUGAGUAACGCGUGGGUAACCUGCCCUGUACACACGGAUAACAUACCGAAAGGUAUGCUAAUACGAGAUAAUAUAUAAGAGUCGCAUGACUUUUAUAUCAAAGAUUUUUCGGUACAGGAUGGACCCGCGUCUGAUUAGCUUGUUGGCGGGGUAACGGCCCACCAAGGCGACGAUCAGUAGCCGACCUGAGAGGGUGAUCGGCCACAUUGGAACUGAGACACGGUCCAAACUCCUACGGGAGGCAGCAGUGGGGAAUAUUGCACAAUGGGGGAAACCCUGAUGCAGCGACGCCGCGUGGAGGAAGAAGGUCUUCGGAUUGUAAACUCCUGUUGUUGAGGAAGAUAAUGACGGUACUCAACAAGGAAGUGACGGCUAACUACGUGCCAGCAGCCGCGGUAAAACGUAGGUCACAAGCGUUGUCCGGAAUUACUGGGUGUAAAGGGAGCGCAGGCGGGAAGACAAGUUGGAAGUGAAAUCCAUGGGCUCAACCCAUGAACUGCUUUCAAAACUGUUUUUCUUGAGUAGUGCAGAGGUAGGCGGAAUUCCCGGUGUAGCGGUGGAAUGCGUAGAUAUCGGGAGGAACACCAGUGGCGAAGGCGGCCUACUGGGCACCAACUGACGCUGAGGCUCGAAAGUGUGGGUAGCAAACAGGAUUAGAUACCCUGGUAGUCCACACUGUAAACGAUGAUUACUAGGUGUUGGAGGAUUGACCCCUUCAGUGCCGCAGUUAACACAAUAAGUAAUCCACCUGGGGAGUACGACCGCAAGGUUGAAACUCAAAGGAAUUGACGGGGGCCCGCACAAGCAGUGGAGUAUGUGGUUUAAUUCGACGCAACGCGAAGAACCUUACCAAGUCUUGACAUCCUGCGACGCACAUAGAAAUAUGUGUUUCCUUCGGGACGCAGAGACAGGUGGUGCAUGGUUGUCGUCAGCUCGUGUCGUGAGAUGUUGGGUUAAGUCCCGCAACGAGCGCAACCCUUAUGGUCAGUUACUACGCAAGAGGACUCUGGCCAGACUGCCGUUGACAAAACGGAGGAAGGUGGGGAUGACGUCAAAUCAUCAUGCCCUUUAUGACUUGGGCUACACACGUACUACAAUGGCGUUAAACAAAGAGAAGCAAGACCGCGAGGUGGAGCAAAACUCAGAAACAACGUCCCAGUUCGGACUGCAGGCUGCAACUCGCCUGCACGAAGUCGGAAUUGCUAGUAAUCGCAGAUCAGCAUGCUGCGGUGAAUACGUUCCCGGGCCUUGUACACACCGCCCGUCA